ACUGAACAUGAACGGGAGUGGAGGCACAGGUGUAACUGAGGAGAGUAUGACCUUUGGAGGAUGUGGCCAUUAACUUCUCCCAGGAGUGGGCGCUCCUGGAUGAGACUCAGAGGCUCGUGCAGCACAAUGUGAUGCUGGAGAACUGUGCACUGACUGUAUCCAUGGCACAGAGACAGGGUGAUACCUCCAUGUUUCAGGUUCUGUCCCCUUCCUCUGGGUGACAUUUCCUAGGAGCCGUCUCUGCUAUGAACUGCACAUGUUGUCACGGAUCACUGUUUACACGAACCAGGUUUAUGACAGGAAUGUCUUUCUCAAUACGCUGGAAGCCAUCUCUUUAAACUGAAAACAUCCUGAAAGCCUUUUUGUGAAACACAGACUUCGUGAGAGAGAGCUCUCCAAUCUCCCAGUUCCAGUGAAGGGAAGGAGCCAACCCUCAGUGCUCCCCUUUCUCCAAUUUGGAAAACAACCUCCUGUCACAAGGAAAUGUUUGCCUUUCCUCUGAAUGAAGCCAAAAAGCUUCCAGAGAGUCACAACUACUGGGUAAAGUUAGGCACUCUGUGUGACAAAUGGUGCUGUCAAGUCCUCUUACUUAAAAACUUGUUAUUGUUUAUCUUGAACAUACAUAUGUAAUGGGUUCUAUCUGCUUGUCUAUACAGAAAAGUGAGAUUAUUUUUCUGUCUGCAGUUUCUUAGCAGAUUGCCUGUAAUGCACAUCAAACUCUGGUUUCAUGCUUAAUUAAUAAUAAACCUGUUUUGUCUCUACUACUACUGUAAAGAGGAUUUCUGGAUUGGGAAAAUAUUUUGUUCUUAUUUCCCCGAAAGUCAACAUCACCCACCUGUCUGUUGAGACCAAAUCUCCUCACCCAUUUCAUCAAUGUCUAGUGCACAGGAUUAU